UACGUAGGGACCGAGCGUUGUCCGGAAUCAUUGGGCGUAAAGAGCGUGUAGGCGGCCUUUUAAGUCCUGCGUGAAAUCCUGCGGCUCAACCGCAGACGGUCGUGGGAAACUGGAAGGCUAGAGUGCGGGAGAGGAGAGUGGAAUUCCCGGUGUAGCGGUGAAAUGCGCAGAUAUCAGGAGGAACACCGGUGGCGAAGGCGGGUCUCUGGGCAGUAACUGACGCUGAGGAGCGAAAGCGUGGGGAGCGAACAGG
rnacentral:rRNA from 1 species